rnacentral:rRNA from 1 species
GAUCAUGGCUCAGGAUGAACGCUGGCGGCGUGCUUAACACAUGCAAGUCGAACGAAGCACCUUGAUUCGAUUCUUCGGAUGAAGAUCUUGGUGACUGAGUGGCGGACGGGUGAGUAACGCGUGGGUAACCUGCCUCAUACAGGGGGAUAACAGUUAGAAAUGACUGCUAAUACCGCAUAAGACCACAGCACCGCAUGGUGCAGGGGCAAAAACUCCGGU